rnacentral:lncRNA from 1 species
CUUUUCCAUGUGCACCAGUGCCAAAUUUCGUUCAUGCAGCGGGCAUGGAUGUUUAACCAGACUUAGGUUACCAUCUGCAAGGAUCAUGUUCUCUGUCAGUUGCCUUUUGCUAGCUCUUCUGUACUCCUCCUCAAAAAUUUUUCUUUCUGUACAGUUGCAGACCAGUAAUCGGUGGGAAUCCCCUGCUACCAAAGUAUGGCUACCCUUCUGAACGGCUGCUGAAGUUGUCUGAGCCUAAAAAAUUCCUCCCUGCUUACCUGGAACAAAGAUCCCGUGAUACCCCGGAGUGGCCUGUGUCCCUGGCUGCACAGAACUACAAUGCCUCCAAGCGGAUACUGCAGCUUGCCCAGCCAAAGGGGCUGCACCCAGACUUCAUGCCCCCCAGAGAGAUUUCCACCUCACCUCGGAGGAUAGUUGCAAGCCCUCGAACCAUUGAGCUGUCGAAGCCCAAACAACUCCACCCGAACUUCAUGCCAGCGCGGGAUCCCGAGUGGCCUGUCACAGAGGCUGCCAAGCGUGCAGUGCCUACUAAAAGAAUUCUGGGGCUGGCCCAGCCUUCCUCAAGGUAGGUACUGCUUCCCUGUCCCGGGGAAACGAUCAGCUGCCAGCCCAUUUUGUGUGG